rnacentral:rRNA from 1 species
GACGAACGCUGGCGGCGUGCUUAACACAUGCAAGUCGAACGGAAAGGCCCUGCUUUUGUGGGGUGCUCGAGUGGCGAACGGGUGAGUAACACGUGAGUAACCUGCCCUUGACUUUGGGAUAACUUCAGGAAACUGGGGCUAAUACCGGAUAGGAGCUCCUGCUGCAUGGUGGGGGUUGGAAAGUUUCGGCGGUUGGGGAUGGACUCGCGGCUUAUCAGCUUGUUGGUGGGGUAGUGGCUUACCAAGGCUUUGACGGGUAGCCGGCCUGAGAGGGUGACCGGCCACAUUGGGGCUGAGAUACGGCCCAGACUCCUACGGGAGGCAGCAGUGGGGAAUAUUGCACAAUGGGCGGAAGCCUGAUGUAGCAACGCCGCGUGCGGGAUGACGGCCUUCGGGUUGUAAACCGCUUUCGCCUGUGACGAAGCGUGAGUGACGGUAAUGGGUAAAGAAGCACCGGCUAACUACGUG